CUACGUGCCAGCAGCCGCGGUAAUACGGAAGGUCCAGGCGUUAUCCGGAUUUAUUGGGUUUAAAGGGAGCGUAGGCUGGAGAUUAARUGUGUUGUGAAAUGUAGACGCUCAACGUCUGAAUUGCAGCGCAUACUGGUUUCCUUGAGUACGCACAACGUUGGCGGAAUUCGUCGUGUAGCGGUGAAAUGCUUAGAUAUGACGAAGAACUCCGAUUGCGAAGGCAGCUGACGGGAGCGCAACUGACGCUUAAGCUCGAAGGUGCGGGUAUCRAACAGGAUUAGAUACCCUGGUAGUCCGCACGGUAAACGAUGGAUGCCCGCUGUUAGCGCCUGGCGUUAGCGGCUAAGCGAAAGCAUUAAGCAUCCCACCUGGGGAGUACGCCGGCAACGGUGAAACUCAAAGGAAUUGACGGGGGCCCGCACAAGCGGAGGAACAUGUGGUUUAAUUCGAUGAUACGCGAGGAACCUUACCCGGGCUUGAAUUGCAGACGCAGGAUACAGAGAUGU
rnacentral:rRNA from 1 species